UACAGAUAAUAAAUAAGAAGGCAAGACACAGAAGAUGUCCAAACUAAAGAAAUACAAAAUAGAGGAAGCAGUGCUGUCCACAAACUAGAGAAAGGGUGCAGCCACCGCGGCUGCUAUUGCUAGGAAUGAUUAUGUCUUCUUCUUCUUCUCCUUCUUCUCCCAUAGCUGGUCCUCUCUCCAUUUCCUAUCAUCUGUGUAGUAACCAAUGAGAAUUUCAGGAAUGUGUGCGAUUCUUCUGUAAUCUUCACUUUCUUCCUUCUGAUUCUCUAACAGCUUCUCUCUCAAUUGAGAGCUCAUCUCAUACAAAGUCAGCUCUUGAAGAUGGCUCAAGUGCUGAAUACCCAAAGGUAAUUCCUCCAGUAAUGGAAGUUGUUCCAGAAAUAGGUCUUGGAGACGAGUGAUAGGUCAUUAUUUGUCGCUAAAUCUAUAAUUAUUCUUCCCUUGAUUUCAGCCAAAUAUUGCGUUAAUUGAUGGAUUCUACUUAUAUUUGGUUAAUGGUGCUAAAUUGUAGGAAAAAGAGCAAAACGUGACAAAAAGGGGCAAUCUUCCAAUUAAUUUGAUGGUAGCACGUUCGGGAUCGAUUUCCAAGUUCGAUUCAAACUCUGGGCAGCUUUAGAGGAAGAUUUGGAAGACUUGAAUUCUAAUUACUAGUCUUAUUGUUGAAUUAGGAAACUUGAAAUACUUUCUUUUGUGGUUUAUUUUGCUAUUUAGGAAACUAGUUCUAUUUGGUAGUAUUUUUCCAUUAGGAAACUAAGGAAAAAGCCACGGUUGUUGACCUUGGAAAAGUGGGGACCAUUGCAAUUGUCUUCCAAUAUUGCUUUGAUCGAAAUUGAAGGGAGAGAAGGCUACAAAAGGCCAGCCGACUUUGAAGAGGAGGAAAAGGACGGAUCCCGCGGGAUUACUACUUAGCCAGGGAUUUCACGUGAUAACUGGGGAGCGAAGGGAAUAAGAAAAGGAAGUGGCUCUGGUCCGCGGAGUAGAAAGAACGCAGCCGCUUGGCUCUGGUCCGCGGAGUAGUUCCUCCAUUGUAAAACAUUGACGCAAUUUCCUUCAAUGGAAUUGCGUGAGUUACUCUCAAUGGGGAACUAAACCUCCCAACUCUAGUCAAGGGAACAACUGAUGAAUUGGUUCAAUUAAUACUGUGAGAUCUAAACCAUUGUUAAUUGUUUUCUUCAUUUAUUGAUAUUUACAUAUUCCUUGCUCUUAACUGCUAUAGCCUUGUGUAUGAUUGGUUAGUGCGCAAUAAUUAAUUAUUCACAUAGGCUAUUUUGCUAUAUAGGGGUAAUUGAAUCCGUAAUUGUUCGUUACCUUUAUCCCAGUAGCAACUGGUAUAAUUGGGUUUAUGUCAGGGGAAUAUAUGAUCUAGCUUAAAUAAACCCUCGUAGCGUGUUUAUUGGUUAGGAUUGGGCCUUUCUAAUUAUUAAUGCAAUCUGGAAAUUAAAUCCUACGGUCGUACCUAGGGUUGUUUUUGGGUUAGAGAAAUAGCUAACGGUCGUACCUUAGCUAUCGAUAAAUUACGGAAGGGUUGGUUGUUUAGCGCGUGCGAGACAACUAUAACCAAUCUAUUAGUAAAUGUUGGAAUUAUAUUUGAUUCGAUGAUCAGUUGCAUGAACCAUUUCUGAAGUGCACCCUUGGCUAGAGUUUCUCUUAGUUAUUUCUUUUAAUAAAUUAUUUUCUGCAUUUGAUUUGUUCAGUUGGCAUUUGAUAUCAACACCCCCCCCAUUAAUCUUGAUUUGAAAAGAAACAAAUAUCUCUCCAGUCCCUGAGGAGACGACCCUGCUUACCACUGUCUACUAGUUAGGAAAUUCAGUUAAAUAAUUAAUUCAGGUAUAUCGGAUUAAGCAAACUCUUCGGGAACAGGGUGAAUCAAGUAACCCAUUGCACACCUAGAGUCCCUGCUCCAGUACUCGAAUUGAUUACUGACUGUUUCAGGUGGUAGUUAGGUUUUAUUUAUUAUUAUUGCACAGGUUCGGCACCUGUCAACGAGGCAAUGCACCCUCCUCCACUCUCAUCCGUCUCAACCCGGUGUUUUAGUGCUGGGAAUGUGUGCUGGGAAUGGUGUCAUUGUUUAGCUAAACCUUUCUACGGUUCAGAUGGGUUUGUACAAGCAGAAGGGAGGACAAAUUGGGAUUAUGUAUUCUCUCUCACCAAGAUCUGAAAGUUAUUAUCUGGAGAUUUUAAUAAAAAUUUUCUUGUAGAUAUUAUUAAUACACUUUUAACAUGUCUACCUCUUCAUCAUUUGCUAAACAAAAUAUAGAAAAGAUCAAAAAACACAAAGAUAAAGAGUAAUACUCUGUUACAGUACAUUAAAAAAACAUCACGCAUUAUACAUACAAUAAAUAAGAAUGUAAAACACAGAAGAUGAUGAACUUUCUCAUGCACAUCGAAGGGAAGAAAAAUUACUAAUAAAAAAUAAAAAACAAAAGGAGAGGAAGCAGUGUUCUCCACAACUAGAGAAAGGGAGCCACGACUGCUACUGCUAUGUUUUCUUCCUCUCCACCCACAGGUUGUGGCGUCUCCAUUUCCUAUCAUCUGUAUAGUAACCAAUGAAAAUUUCAGGAAUAUGUGCGAUUCUUGUGUAAUCUUCACUUUCUUCCUUCUGAUCCUCCAACAGUUUCUCUCUCAAUUGAGAACUCAUCUCAGACAAAAUCAGCCGUUGAAGAUUGCUCAAGUGCUGAAUACCCAAUGGUAAUUCCUCCAGUGAUGGAAGUUGUUGCAGAAAUAGUUGAUGGAGACGAGUCAAUGCACCCUCCUCUACUCUCAUCCAUCUCAACCCUUCCAUUCUCUUUAGGUGCAACUCCUUCAGCUUUAGAAACCCUCCAGCCUUGAAGCACAACCCUUCUCCCUGGUAAGAUCCGCAGAAAUUAAUUUCACCCAAAUUGGGCAAAUGUUGGAAGGAUUCAAGCGGAUCCUCCUCGCCCGUUAACCUGCUCCAGUCCAAAUCUAUUCUUACCAAGCCGUGAAGACGAGCUACCCAUUGUGGCAUCUUUUCUAAGCGGCCGCACAAAAUUAGCAUACGAAGAGAUUGAAGAAACGACGAAGAAGAAGAAGGAUGAUGAUGAUUUAGAUCAAUUAUCUCAUGAUCAUCACCUUUUCCAAUUGAAGUAACGCUUAAUUCCCGAAGACUGGAGAGGUUAGCAAGGGAGGAGCAGAGCUCCUUUCCAUCUUCUCUUCUUAACUUUGUAAUAGAUAACUCUCUUAAUUGGGUCAGCUUUCCUAUCUCCUUAAUUAUUGUGGAUCCACUACUAGCAUCUAUGCUGUCUAAUACUUCUAGGGCAAGAAGCCCUCCCAUAUUCGAGGGAGCUUUAAAUCCAUGAUAUCCAUAAUCAUCAUCUGAAGUAUCAACUUGUUGAUAUACUCUGAGAACACGAAGUUUUUGCAGCUUUAUGAUUUCAAUAGGUAAUUCCCUAACUCCGGUUUUUCCCAAAUUCAGAUACUCCAAAUGUUGAAGUUUCCCAAUGGCUUUCGGGACUCUCUCCACUCUUGUACCCCAUAGGUCUAGAUGCUUGAGAUGAAACAAGUUGAAAAUCUCAUUUGUUAUUUCCUCCUCUAUGUUUUGACCACGGAAAUCCAAAACCUUUAACAACUUGCUACUCCCUAAAACUUCAGAUAAUAACAUUUUGGAUAGUAGCGGAUCCGUGGAUCCAACAGUAACGAAAGACCGAAGGUGGUCAAAGUAAUAAUCUCGCCUUUGUUGGUGGUGCUGGGUGUUGUCAUUGCUACUACUAUGGACUACUAGACGGCGUACCUUUUCGGAUGGCCACGUCGCCGGUUGCCCAGUAGUAACUGUGACCAUGUUUUGUUCCCUUGACUUGAGAAGAAUAACUUCUCUCAAUAGGUCAUGGAUUCGACAAGUGUCGGGAAAUCCUUCAUAAAACACACGGGUCACUUGAAUUAGGCUUCUGCUGAUGAGUUCACUGAGAUAACGCAAGGCUACAUCUUCAAUACUCAUUCCUUCUCUCCAUUCGACAAACCUUUCAGCAAUCCACAAAUUAAUGAGUCUAUAGCAAUUUAUUUUGUAAUCCUCUGGGAAGAUACUUGUGUACAACAGACAUGCCUUUAGAUGCCAAGGCAAAUCACCAUAACUAAGAGAGAGUAUCUUUCUAACUCUGUCUAGCUUACCAGUGCCUUCUAAUUCACCACCAAGACUGCGUCGAACCAUCUCCCAUUCCUCUGUUCUGUUUACAUCUUUCGAAGCCAAAAGCCCACUGAUUGCAAGAAUCGCAAGGGGCAAGCCCUCACAUUUAUCCAAUACACCUUUGGCAACAUCCAUCAAAUGGCCAGGGCAGUUACCUCCGUCAAAGAUCUUGUUGCAAAACAGGGUCCAUGAAUCCUCAAUAGAUAGUGGCUCCAUUCUGUAGACAAGACCCCGAGAUUCAAUGGAAGAGGCACAGGCUACAUCAGAUUUUCGAGUUGUUAGCAUGACACGGUUGCCGCGGCUAUUCUCGGGCAGAGCAAAUUUGAUGGUAUUCCAAAAUUCCACGUCCCAUACAUCAUCAAAAACAAUUGCAUACCUUCCAGCUUGUUGAAGAAAAUCUUUGAUAAAUUCUUUCAGCUCGGUGGUAUUCAAAGACUCGAUCGAUUGUGGGACUGGUUUCUUCCCUUCCUUGUGUAACUGCCUAAUCAAGUCUUUUAGGAGAUCCUGAAAGUCACAUGUUUGAGAGACAGUUGCCCAAGCACGAACUGGGAAAUGCCUUCUGACUUCAGGAUCCUCAUGGACUUUUUUCACUAGGGUAGUUUUGCCAAGUCCGCCCAUACCAACCACUGAAACAACUUUCAGUUGGUGAUCAUCGCCUUCGAGGAGCUGAGAAAUAAGACGUUUCUUGGGCUGGUCAAUGCCAACUAAUUUAGCUUCUUCCACAAGCAGUGCGUCAUCUCUGUUAUAGCGCCAUGUUGAGUUGUUCACAGCAGAAAGUGAGUGGGACGCUUGGGCGGAGAUACCAUAUUCGGAUUGGUAUCUUUGAUGGCCUUCAGAAAUACUUUUGAUUCUGGAUUUGAUGCUUUGUAUUUCGCUAGCAACUCGAUGACGAGCUCUCAAAUUCUUGAUGGAGCUGAAAAUUCUCCGAACAGAGCCGUAGAAUCCUGUUGCGCGAUGCCGAGCAAAGCGAGCUACGAAGUCAUCAAGAAUGUCCUCAGUGUCAUAAGCAGCAUCUCGCACUUGCUUGAUCCAUUGUUGGAGCGUGGGUUGAGCAUCUUCUUCUUUUGCUUCUGUCUCUCGCAGGAAAGCUCUCAUUUGCUCCAACUCAUCCCUGAUGAAUUGAACCUCUUGCCGAACCCCUCCCAAUAGUCGUCCCUCCUCGCGCAGAAAAGUUGAGACUUGAUCCAGCACAAAAGAGAGAACUGUUUCUGCCAUUUUCAGUCUUUCUUUCUAACUUAAGAAUGUCGGGGAAGGCGGCUUCUGGUUUAUAGGACAGUCCACUUGUAGUAUCUUGAAAGGAAGAAGGAAGAGGAGGCUAUAGAUUCAUAAGCUGAUGAACUUCGAUGCUAUUUGGUGCAGUAUAUAUCAAAAAGAAACAGAAAGAAUUAGCCAAUUAGAAGAAACUAAGCAAGAAACAUGAUUGUGAAAAACGAAGCUGCCUUACCUGCCACAAUAUAAAAUCAUGGAAGCCAUUAAGAAGACUGUGUUUGCACAUGCCUUCGGGACCUUCUUUCAACUGUGGGUCCUUUGGUGGGAUAAAGAUAAAGGAGCAUCUUUCGCGAGGGGAAGGAAUAAAGUUAAAACGCGGUUGGACUGGACAUUAUUGAUUUCUUCUAACGAAGAAAUAAAAACUACUGCAAAAUGUUUUGCCCCUUCUGCGGACUAAUCUCUGCUGGCAUUUUCCUUCCCUCCACUAUGCAAUUAUUUAUUUUGGUGAUAUUCGUGCCAAACACAUUGCUCUAAACAAUCAAUUAAUGAAGGGAAUCCAUUGAGUGUCACUCGAAUUUUAUAGUCUCGUUACUUGCGUAUCAACUAUUAUUUGAUAAUCUAAUAUAUCUUUUGAUUGGGAAUUGAAAAAUAAAAUUCCUUGUAAGUGUAAAAACUGACCUAAUAUGUCUAAUAAAUUUUUAUACGACCUAAAACUAUAUUAGUUUGGAAACUAACUUUAUUUUUCAAUUAUUGUAAAUGAUUUCAGAGGACUAAUUUUUGUAAACUUUAAUCCUAAUUACAUAAUGACAUUUGUAUCUCUGUAUCCUCAUUAAAACAUACACAAAAACUAUGUAAACAUAUUUUUUUAUGUUCAAUAUAUUAUCUAGACACGGACUAAUUCAAAUAUUGGAGUAGAGAUGUUUUACUUUGUUAAUCAAUAUUAGUCCAAGCAUAUUAAUAGAGACGAAAAAAUAAUGCUACAUGAGUAUGUAAGCCCUCUUUUUCUCUUUCACUCUUGUACGCAGCUAUUUUAUUUUCGUCUUCUUCAUUUUUUUUUGAAAAAAUCAUUCUUAAUUAAGAAAAUUAGCAUUAUCCUACUCAUAACUUCAUAAGUCAAAAGAUCAUGCAAAGUAAAUUAAAGAUCUAAACACUACACAAGAAUCGGAUUAUAUGUCAGGAAUUCAAAUCCCACAACCUAUAUUUAAAAAAUUCUAGAUGAUGUGUCAAGGCAUCUAUAUAGUUUAGAUGAUACUGCUCAUUUAAUUCAAUUCGGUCCCUGUUAGUAUAGAAUAGUGCUAUUCUUAAUGUUGAAAAAAAUAUUAAAAAAUAAAUUGUUUGGAUAGGGUAUUAUUUGGAAUAAAUACUGUAGCACUGAUAGGGUGUUAAUUGUUGGUUAUUUUAUUGUUAAUUUUCCCCUUUAUCCUUGCCAAAUAUUGUUUUAAUUAUUAAUAUUUACUUAUAUUUGGUAUUGGACUCAAUUUCAGGAAGUGAAACAGAAAACUACAAAAAUGGUUGUGCGGCGGGCUGGAGUGGUUGUGCGAUGGGCGAGGGAGCUUCAGCCGUGGACUGCUGUGAGCUGCGGGCGACAGCGGAGAGCUGGGAUGCGGAGAGCCGCGCGCGAGAUGGCGGCGGGCACAGAGGACGACGGGCUGAGCAGCGUCCGUGGCAGGCUGGGUGCGUGCGGAAGAGAGGAAAGGGAGGGCUGUGGCGGCGGGCCGCUGCUUCGGACGACACAGAGGAACAGGGGAGAAGGAAGAAAGAAAGAAGAAGAAGAAAGAAAGAAAGAAAAAGAAAGAAAAGAAAGAAAAGAAAAGAAGAAAAAGAAAAAGAGAGAAAUUGCUGUUUUUUUUUUUCAAAAAUGUUUCUUUUUUUUUUCUUCCAAUUAUGAGGCUCUUUGAGCCACGGAAAUAAUUUUUCGUUCUUUUUUUUUUUUUUUGGAAAUUGAUUUCGACUUUUUAAUAUUUUUUUUUUUUUUUUGAAAUUUGGAAACUAAAGCUACGGUGAUAAGAAAUGUUUAUUCUAUUUUUUUCUUUUUUUCUCUUUAUUUUUUUGAAUCCUUACCUUUCCCGCGAACGUGACGCGGGUGCGUCAUGAGGGCAAGAGAGCUCCCAGAAGUUUGUGAAGUUUCUGAUCGUGAGCUUCCUGCACAUCACCACGCGGGCGCGUCAUGACUGAAGGGCACCUAUAAAUCAGCAAAAAUGAAAAUUGAAACCCAAAAUCAGUCGAAUUCAAGGAGAAUACAUCUAAACUACCACACGAAAAUGAACAAACAAUUAAAAGGAACAAUUGGGUUGCCUCCCAAGGAGCGCCUUUCUUUAAUGUCUUUGGCUAGACAUUAUCAUGUUUUGCUCAUGGAGGAUAAAAUCUUGUGGCUCGUCUUACUGCUUCAUCCUCUAUAUAGUCCUGAUAACCCUCGUAAAUAGAAUAAUCCUUGAGCAUACGAGCUACGGGCUUCCAUGGACUAGUGAAUGGCGCCAAACGAGUCGAUGAUAAUUUACAUUCUCCAUUCACUCCUCCCUCACUUGCAUUCAUUGGUUCAAGAUAUUUUGCCAUCUCCACUCUUAACUUAUUUCUGUCAUGAAAUUCAAAAUUGUUGGAUUCAUUCACUUGAACGAGUUGAUCUUGGAGUCUCAUUUCUUGCACUUCAGCUUCCUUUUCAACUGCAUCUUUAAAUCCGUUUUCUUGAAACUCUUGCAGUUCCAUGUCAUUUGGCCGGAUAAUUGCACUCUCAUCUUCCUCAAGAUUGAUAUUGGUUUGUGCGGGCAAUUCUUCCAUUUGAGGAGCCAAUCGAUUUAUUCUGGAUGUCAAUAGACAUAGUUGAUCUGCCAGAUCACGAAGGCUCGCUUGUGUCUCCUGAUGAAAUCGAUUUAGGCUCGCUUGUGUCUCCUGAUGAAAUCGAUUUGUAUUAGCAAUUAGUAAUUCCAUCAUUUCUUCAAGAGACAUGCCUAACACGGAGGAUGAUUGCUGAGACUCUUGCUGUUGAAAAUCCAUUGGCCCGGUCGCAUAAUCAAAAUUGGAAUUAUCCCACCAUCCUUGAUCAUACCCGUUUGAAUAAGGGUCAUGCUGCGUUUGAUAUUGGGGUGAAAAAUCUCCAAAAGUAUCAAUUGGAGCACUUAGAUUAUCUUGAAAUGCGGGGCAUGUGUCAGUUGAAUAACCUGAGUCAAAAUAAGUUCCACAAUUUGCAACAGCCCAUUGAUCAUUAGGAAAAACAUGAGUCUCAUCACCCCAUUCAGGAACAAAGUCCAGUCUAUCAUCAAAAUAUGGAAUGUUAGCAGCCAUAAACUAUAAAAAAAAUAAGAGAAAAUAAAUUAAAAAUGAGAACAAGGUGAACUCAAAAAGAAACAAAUUAAUCUGACACCAGUCCCCGGCAACGGCGCCAAAAUUGACAGGUGCCGAACCUGUGCAAUAAUAAUUACCUACUCAAGAAAAAUAUAGAUUUUGUAUAUAGCGGCGAGCAGGGUCGAAUCCACAGGGAUUGGGGAUAAUUCGUUUCUUCUAGAGUCCAGAGUAUGGGAGGUUCUUGGAUUAAAUGCUAACUAAAUAAAUCAAGUGCAGAAAAUAAUUGAUUAAAAGAAAUAAUUCAGAGAAACUCUAGCCAAGGGUACACUUCAGAAAUGGUUCAGGCACUGAUCAUUGAUGCAGAAAUAAUUCCAACAUUUAGCAAUAGAUUAGUUAUAGUUGUCAUGCACGCGAUAAACAACCAACCCUUCCUUAAUUUCUCGAUAGCUAAGGUACGACUGUUAGCUAUUUCUCUAACCCAAAAAUAACCCUAGGUACGACCGUAGGAUUUAAUUUCUAGAUUGCAUUAAUAAUUAGAAAGGCUCAAUCCUAACCAACAAACACGCUACGAGGGUUUGUUUAAAUUAGAUCAUAUGCUCCCCUGACAUAAACCCAAUUACGCCAGUUGCUACUGAGGUAGAGAUAACGAACAAUUACGGAUUCAAUUACCCCUAUUUAGCAAAAAUAGCCUAUAUGAAUAAUUAAUUAUUGUGCACUAAUCAAUCAUACACAAGGCCAUAGCAAUUAAAAUCAAGGAACAUAUAAAUACCAAUAAAUGAAGAAAAUAAUUAAAACAGAUUCGAUCUCACAGUAAUUGUCGAACCAAAUCGUCAGUUGUCCCCUUGACUAGAAAAGCUUAACCACGCCUCAUGAGAAAAUCUCCCCGUUGGGGAAUAUUGUCGAAUACCUGGCGUGUGUCACCUGGCGUGUGUCAGAGGCCAGUCCAAAGAAAGAAAACUAGAACUAAACUAAAAAACUAAAACUAAAGCCCUAGAUAUCUUUUGCUUCUGUACGUUGUCCCCUUUUAAAGCAACAAAAGAAAGAUGACUAAAAGCUAUCUAGGUGGUCCCCACACAUGUGGACAAAGCCUCCCAAGUACUUCUUGUUCCAAGUCUCUCUACGUUACUUUCUUUGAAGCCCAAAUGACCAAAUGCCUUUCACUAGCUUGUGGUCCCCCACCAAUUCAAGGGCCCAAGGAUUGAAGCCCUUAGAAGUCUCCAUAUUUUUCACAAAGUCCCUCCUUUUUGGUAGUUUUCUGCUUCAUUCCUGAAAUUGAUUCCAAAUACCAAAUAUGAGUAAAUAUCAGCAAUUAACACAAUAUUUGUCAGGGAUAGAAGGGAAAAUUAAUAAUAAAAAUACUAACAAAUUAUACCCUAUCACCUUGGUGGUUCUCUCCCUGUGGAGAAAUCCCCAUCGAUGCAUCAGGCCUGAAAUAAUGCUUGAUGAAGUUUCUACGAAUGAGCACAACCACAGAAAUUGAGAAAAUGAAGUUGGUGACAGAGGACUUUUUCAAGCUACCAUUACAACAGAAGAUGGCCUAUGCACGACUGCCAAAUGAUGUUGAAGGAUAUGGUCAAAUAUUUGUGGUAUCAGAGGAUCAAAAGCUUGACAGGGGGGACAUGCUCUUCCUCUGCGCAUUGCCAGUUUCUCAAAGAAAUAUGAGAUUCUGGCCUACGACUCCAACAUCUCUCAGGUAGACAAUGGAUAAUACACAGUAUCACAAUAAUCUUUCCCACUUCUGCAGUAAUAUUAUACACAGUAUCCAAAUGAUGUUGAAGGCUAGCCUUGUUCGUCAAGCUCCUCUGCUUACAGAAUUUCCCAUUCGUCAUGGGAAUCUAUCCUCUAUUUUUUGCGCAACAAAGAUUCUUUAAACUGGCAAUUUAGAAGCCAAUUGGAAUACGCAAUUUAGAAGCCAAUUACGAGUCAAGAGUCUUCCCGUAAGAAGAAUUUGUCAGGAUUUAGUACUAACAAGUUUAGAGUGACUUCUAACAAAAUGAAUAUUCGUAUUUCUUAAUAUAUAGUUAGCUUUAAUUAUCAUGCAUAAGAAUAUAAUAAUUGGAGAUAAUUUUAACACAUAUAAUAAUUGGAGAUGAAGAAAAUGAUUGUUAAAUAUAGGUGUAAAUGUGUAAUUUUUAAUUUUGAUUACCAAUAAUAGAAGAAAUUUUUAAUUUUAAUCUCAGUGCAAAAAGAUUAUCCUAGAAGAAAUUUGGUAGGACCUGCUAUUUAUUAUCCAGCUGGGGACUAACUCUCACUUUAACACUAUUGUUAAUGUAGGUUUGUACAAACAGAAGUAAGGAUAAACCAAAUUGGGUUUGCAUAUUGCCAAUACAUUUCUAACCUGCCUACUUCUUGAUCGUUUGCGAAAUCAAUUAUAGAAAAGAUCAAGAAACAAAAAAAAAAAAAAUAAGAGAGUAAAAUACAGUACAUCAAGUCGUUAACAACAUCACACAAUAUACACAAUGUAGUAUACAAUAAAUAAGGUAAAAUACAAAAAAAAAAAAGAAAAAGAUGCAAUGUCGUCUACAUUCCACAACCAGAGAAAGGGAAGCCACGGUUGCUAUUGCUGCUGCUGCUGCUUGUUAGGAAAGAUUAUAUGUUUUCUUCUUCUCCGCCCACAGCCAGCGGUCUCUCCAUUUCCUAUCAUCUGUGUAGUAACCAAUGAGAAUUUCAGGAAUGUGUGCGAUUCUUCUGUAAUCUUCACUUUCUUCCUUCUGAUUCUCCAACAGCUUCCCUCUCAAUUGAGAACUCAUCUCAUACAAAGUUAGCUCUUGAAGUUGGCUCAAGUGCUGAAUACCCACAGGUAACUCCUCUAGUAAUGGAAGUUGUUCCAGAAAUAGUUUUUGGAGACGAGGCAAUGCACCCUCCUCCACUCUCAUCCAUCUCAACCCUUCCAUUCUCUUUAAGUGCAACUCCUUCAGCUUUAGGAACCCUCCAGCUUUGAAGCACAAUCCUUCUCCCUGGUAAGAUCCACAG
rnacentral:lncRNA from 1 species